GGGAAUGCUGCCUGGGGGAGGGGGCCGGAGCCAGGAUGACAGCCUGAGUGAUGGGACUUUGUGAUGGAGCCUCACACUGAGCAGAAAGAAAUCUAGCUAUUUCUCCAAAAGAAGUACCUGUAUUGAGGA